AUUUAAUUUGAAAAAAAAUGCCUGUAAAAGCAUUUUCUGAUUUACAUUCAAUAUUUUUUAAAUGUGUAGGUGAAAAUAUGAAAAUAAUCUUGUACACGCCCGUACAAUCUGGCCUGCCGAAGCGAAUGUAAUCAUUAAAACUCAAAUAACAGCAACAAAUUGGACUCUCAUGCGACAAUAACUGAGCACAUUUACGUUUUUGUACGUUGCAAUUCAAUGGACGGAAAUGUGCUAAAAGGCAAGCUAUGAGCACCGGUGGAGGUCUACGCCGAUUGAAAUGUGUAUAUAACCUCCUUCUGACGGGAAUCAAGGCAUGUACGACUAGCAUAAGAGAUGCUAAGGACAAUGGCAGUUAUCUUGAGGUAUACCAUGUAGUCGAUGCAGAUGACAUACUGUCAACUAGCUGAGUUAAUAGCCAGCAUAGAGAGAGUUCAGACAAACAGGGCACUGGUUCUUUGCUCAGGGAGCAAACAGCUCUGCAAAAACAGUUUUCUGAAGAAUAUAAUAGUAAAAAUAUAUAAUAUGGAAUAAAGUGUCACCUAUUUGUGAGACAUGAAUCGCUCUUUAGAGAGUAUGGCGGACACUAUAGCGAAGCAGCUAGAGUAACCCCCGGCGUGUUUAGGUUCAAGAAUUUACCCGCGGACGACCCGGAUUUUUAUCCGGCCAACAAC